rnacentral:RNase_P_RNA from 1 species
CCGGUUGGCCGGGUGGCCGCCGCGAGACUUAGCGGUCUCGAGGAGGAAAGUCCGGGCUCCACCGGACAGGGUGCUGGGUAACCCCCAGGCUCUGGGGCGCACCGUGUCCCAGGGACGGAAAGUGGCACAGAAACAUACCGCCGUUGGCUGCUGGCCAGCCACGGCAAGGGUGAAAUCGGACGGUAAGAGCGUCCGGCCGCGUGUGGCGACGCACCGGCGGCCAAACCCCACCUGGAGCAAGGCCAAAUAGGGGAACCAUGGGCGUCCGGCCCGUUCCCGGGUUGGCUGCUUGACCCCAGCGGCAACGCUGCGCUGGUAACCAGUGCGGAUCGGCGGCAACGUCGAUGCGGGGCUAGAUAGAUGGUCACCGUCCACCAAGAGUGGAUACAGAACCCGGCUUACAGGCCAGUCGGCUUU